CGGAGGGUGCAAGCGUUAUCCGGAUUCACUGGGUUUAAAGGGUGCGUAGGCGGGUAAGUAAGUCCGUGGUGAAAUCUCUGAGCUUAACUCAGAAACUGCCGUGGAUACUAUUUGCCUUGAAUAUUGUGGAGGUGAGCGGAAUAUGUCAUGUAGCGGUGAAAUGCUUAGAUAUGACAUAGAACACCAAUUGCGAAGGCAGCUCACUACACAAUCAUUGACGCUGAGGCACGAAAGCGUGGGGAUCAAACAGG
rnacentral:rRNA from 1 species